rnacentral:rRNA from 1 species
UACGUAGGUGGCAAGCGUUGUUCGGAAUUAUUGGGCGUAAAGGGCGCGUAGGCGGCCGGUUAAGUCAGCUGUGAAAGCCCGGGGCUCAACCCCGGAGGGUCGGCUGAUACUGAUCGACUAGAGUACGGAAGAGGUAGCUGGAAUUCCCGGUGUAGAGGUGAAAUUCGUAGAUAUCGGGAGGAACACCGGUGGCGAAGGCGGCGACCUGGGUAGAUACUGACGCUGAGGUGCGAAAGCGUGGGGAGCGAACCGG